UCCCGCUUAGCUCAGUGGUAGAGCGCGUCACUAGUAAAUUCCCCCCCGACUUGAACGGCGGUUUAAUAGGUAUUUGCACAAUGACGAGGUCAGUCGUUCAAAUCGGCUAGCGGGAA